GUUCCUCCCCAUUGCUUGGCCAUGCCCUGCAAAAUCAGCAAGUUCGUGGAGCUUCGUAUGUCUUGCCCGAUGGAUCGAUCAGGGACCCUCGUAUGCCUCAGAAGCCAAUGUCUCCUAACCUCUCGAGAGCUCUUCAGAACCAGAACCUUAAGACUGCUUCAUAUACUCUUCCGGAUGGGACCAUUAUAGAUCCUAGACAGCAACAACCCAUUUCCCCAAACUUGGCUAAGGCCCUAAGCAACCCAGUUUUGCGUGAGGCCUCCUACUCUCUCCCCGAUGGGACCAUUGUGAUUGACCCCAAGAAACAAAAGUCCCCCAAUCUUGCAGCAGCACUUCAGAACCCUUACCUCAAAAGUGCAUCCUACACCUUGCCAGAUGGCACCAUCAUCAUUGAUCCACGCAAACCUGUCUCUCCAAACCUUUCCGGUGCCCUCCAAAACAGCGCCUUGCGGAGUGCCUCAUUCAAAUUACCGGAAGGGGUUCAAGACCCCAAUACACCCAUAUCACCAAACUUGGCCAAGGCUCUCCAAAACCCAGCCUUGAAAGGAGCUUCAUACAUGCUCCCAGAUGGAACUAUUA
ensembl:lncRNA